rnacentral:lncRNA from 1 species
CUUAGGCUUUUGUCUCUCUCCUCUUAUAAAUACAUGAUAGCAAAUAACAUUCGCACCUGCACCUUGUUUAUAAAAAGCAAUGUUCUUGAUUGACAUUUACCAAAUGGACAUUGGAAAAUUUUGUUUUAUGCACAGUAUAUUGUCCUGUGAAUCCGUUUUGCAGUUCAAAAGACAUCCUUCUGCGGGUCGUGGCUCAAAAUCUUUCUCCUGAGGAGACUCCUGUGGAAAAGGUUGUUAUUAUUUUAUAUUCUUAAGUAACUAUACUGGAAAGUGGUUUAUUCUGAGAUAUCGUUUCAUCUGCCUGGUGCUUAUAUUUGCUAGGUAUUCUGAAAUAAUUUUGAUUUUCUUCUUUAUUCUUUCACUUUGUUACUUAUUUUUUGUUAGGUGAUGUCUCCAAACCCAGAAUAUGCAUCUCCAGAAACAACAAUUUUGGACGCACUGCAUAUGAUGCAUAAUGGAAAGUACUUACAUAUUCCUGUGGUGGACAAAGGUUAGCUUUGCCUUAAUUGCGUACGUACUUCCUAAUGUAAUUGUGCUAAGUAUUAUUUAUUUUUCACUUGCAGAUGGAAUUGUUACUGCUUGUUUGGAUGUUUUGCAGAUAACUCAUGCUGCAAUUUCUCUGGUAAAUUUCAUGUUUGAGUCUCAAAAUACAUGAUAAACUAAGCCUUUUAAUGGAUAUUUUGAAGAAAAAUAUUCAGGUUAUCCAGUGUGUUGUGUGUCUGGGACUCUGUUUCGGUUGAUAACUGAUGCUGCAUAAUAAUGAUUUUUAUAAUAAUUGGACCAUUACUAAUAUUGAACAAAAAAUAAUAUAAUCUUCAUUCUUGAAUAUUAUGAAUUAAGAAGCAUGUACAUUACUAACAUUUGGUACUAUUAAAAGGAUUAUGGUGUCCUGUUUAUAAGUUGUGUACUUUGUAGGUUGAAAGUAGUCCCGGUGCAUCUAAUGAUGCGUCAAACACAGUUAUGCAAAAAUUUUGGGACUCAGCAUUUUCUCUAGAGCCGCCUGAAGAUUUUGACACCCAUAGGUAGGUACCUUGUUAAAUGUAUUCUGUUUUCUAUGUGUUUGUUGAGCUGUUUUUUUGGUCGCACAAAAACACAUGAAACAAAAACACAUGAAAUCUUAGUCCCUACUAAUGAAAAUAUCUUAGUCCCUACUAAUGAAAAUAUAGGACUGACCAGAAAAUCAAUCGAAGGACUUGACAAAAAUUAAGUUUAGGAUGUAGAGUUUAGUCUGAUUUUAUUUAUUAACUAACAAAUUAAUGCAAGGUGGGGACAUUUAAAAGAAUGAAACUAAAAAGGAAAAAUCUAAACUAAAUCUCUUUGAAGAAAGAAAGAAAAUAAAGUAAAAGAAAAGAAAAAGAAAUAGAAAUCUAACUAAUAGGAAAUGAACCUAAAAUGUACAACGAGAUGUGAUAUGAAACCGAACAAAACAGUUAGAAAUAGACAAAAACAGAACCUAUUUAAUAUCUCUACAAAGUAAAAUUCAUUACUCAAAAAAUACAAAUUCAAAUGAAAAGCCAAUAUGAAAUCAAUAGCCGAACUAAUUCAAAGCAUAUUCAACAAACAUAAAAGCUAAGAAACCUAAAUGCUAAAUGAUCAUGAACCUAUAUGAAAUACUAAAAUGAAAUAAUGGGUCUAACCUGGAAAGUGAAAGAAUAAUGCAGUGAAAUAAAAGCUUAAAGUGAAAUGAACCAUGAGUAAAGUACCCAAAAUCUAAAAAAGAUUAAAACUAAAAUCCAAUCUUUAGAACUCUCAAACAGAAAUGAUCAAUUCUAAAACAUUUGGCAAAGGAAGAAAUUUUUAUGGAUGAAGAAUCACUCAAUCAGAAUCUAAAAUUUGGAAAUAAAAGAAAUUCAACUAAAACUAAAAUCAUUCUAACAGAAACACCUACAAAUAUUACUCAAACAAUGAAUCAUUGAUUAAACUCACGAAUUAGAAUCAAAAUUGCAGAGAUUAGUGCACAAAAGUGUUCAUUUACAACUCAGGAAGACGUCCUGUAAAUUUAUAACCACUGUGGGGUUUUUAAGUCCCAAUUUAGAACUUAAAAUGUGUAAAAUUCUAUUCAAUGCACCAAACCGCAGCAAGUUCAACUCUGGUUCAAGUUUGUAACCAAUAUCAGAAGCACAUUCCUAUCCUAAAUGCAAUUAAAAGUUACACCUAAUCUUUAAUGCACCUUUAAAUUCCUAAUAAAAACAAUUGGCAGAAGCAAAUCAUCAUUCUCUACUUGAAUUUCCACAAACAAUCUGGAAUCCAAAAGAACUAACUAAGCUACUUGCAAUCAAUUAAAAAAACCUAAUUAAAAAUUACCUAAACAGAAUUGCCAUCACAUGAACUCAAAAAAUAUACCUAAAAUUGGGUAAAACUUAAUACUGAAACAUAAAAGCAACAUAUGCAUGAAAAAUAGAAUAAACAAUUAGAAUCUAAACGCUGAAACAUAACAAUACCAAAUCAGAAACUGUAAAAUGCACCAAUCAAUUGUCCAGAGGCAUCAGAAUUCAACACAAGCUUCAACUAUCACUAUCAAAGCAAAUAACAACCUAAAGUUACAACUAAAUCAAUAGAAAGCAUGAAAACUGCCUUAACUACAAGGUAAAACCACAAUAGCAAUAAAAAAAUAGAACCAUGGCAACGGAACUGAAAUUUAUUAAAAGGAAAAUGGAAAUUAAACCAAUAGAAUGAAACCGAGACAACCACCCUACGAAGAACGCGUAAAAACCCUAGGAAAACCAAAUCUCUCGAACACACACCUGUACAAAGUCGGUCGUGUCUCUCGUCCAAAAACCCCCUACGCUACGUAUUGUCUAUUUACAUACCCCUUUAUAUAGGGGUCUGAAUCAGAGAAAAAGAAAAUAAAGGAAAAGAACCUUCUUCGCUUUUUCUUCUCAUCCGAUAGUGUCUCUUCUUCACUUUGCUUCCAGCUCCUCUCUGGACCCUUCGAUCAACUCCACCUCACCGCCGAUUAGAGCUUCCCAGAUCUAUUCAUCUUCGUUCUCCUCUGGGCAGCGACACACG